rnacentral:lncRNA from 1 species
CCUUUGAUCCUGAGAAGCCUCGUGAAAGCCGAAUCGGGCAUUUUUGAUUUCUCUUCUUCCUCUAGCUCGGCAGCUGACUUGGGCAACCCAUCAGGUAUAGGACACAGCCUCUCCCCUGCUUUCACUUCUUCCACUGGCUUUGCUGAAUUGAAUCCAUACGUCUUCCCCUUUUGCAUUGCAGCAAUUCCAUGCAAACACCCCACUAAUGACUUUAUCCCCCCUGCUUGCAAAAUCAGCUUCUCCACAUCUCCUUUCGGCGUCUCUUUCUGCACCCCAGUAUCAAAACAUCAGAAAAAAGAAUAUCAUAACCAAAGAAGAACUAAAAGAAAAAAGUUCUUUUGAGAUUCAAGAUGAUCCAUGCC